UCUUGACCAUGUGCUGUAAUAACAAGGUAGGACAAAGCUUUUCAAUGUCUUGGAGUGUCUUUAAAGGAGCUAGACAAAGCAUUUCUUUGUCUAACUAGAUGUAGAAAGCUUUAAAGUGAUUUGUUUCGUAAAUAAUAAAUAGAAUAUAAUCCACUUAAUUAAAUUAGUUGAGUAUAUUCAUUAGAUAAAUUAAUUCAAGAGUGAAUCAAUUUACUAAAUAAAAUAUACUACUAAUAUAAUUAUAUUAGAAGUGAAUAUAUAUAAUCUAUUUAAUAUUUAAUCACUUUCCUUCUUUAACAGAGCUUCUGUCUUCUUUGAAACUUUAAUAUCUUCGUCUUGAAUUGUCAAUCAAUUGAACUACCACCUUUGUUUGACGUAGAAUAUUUAAUCCGAGUAGCUGACACACAAAUGUACUGUCUGGUUCAUCUGUAUCUAGCUGAAUAAAAUAUUCUUCGUCAUUAAAACAAUUAAGCUGUGGCUUGUUCGUCGAGUCUUCGUCUUGUAAGUUCUUCUUCAUAAAUUGGAAUCAUCU
rnacentral:lncRNA from 1 species